AGGCACUGCAGACACAGCUGCUGCGGAAGGAGACAGUCAAAGCUUCCAAGGAAAGAAAUGGCCAAGAUUUGAGAGAAACCUGGCAGCGUCCCCAAGCCUGGCACGGGAUCGCCUCAGACGCACUCGGCUGCUCCGGAGGCGGAGCGCGAAGCAUCGGACCCGGCGGGCGGAGCCAGGCCAGCGGGGCGCAGCGCAACGCCUUCCGCCAGGGCGUCUGGCGCCACCUACCGACGACCAGGCAAGCGAAACUUUCCGCCGAGCGGCAGUUGCUGUGACCGCCUGGGCAUCAAAUGGCAAUUAAUUGGAACAGACUUGAUAAAUGAACUGUGGAAGGGAGCGCUGUGUUCAUGACUAGGUGCCUCCAUGGUCAUGCAUAGCAGACCAGAGCGCUUUCCCACCCACCUGCUUAUGCUGCCACAGUGAACACAAAUUUACAUACCUGGAAGAAACAAGACUUUCUGAAGCAUUUGCAAAAAAUGCAGGAAAUCUGUCUGUCGUGGCUAAAACACCCCCACUGCUCCGUUUGGCAUCGUUCUUGUUCAUAUUCGAAGCAUUGACAGUGUUUCCCCUGACUAGCUGUGGCAAUUAUCACACUGGUGGCAACUGAAAUGGCUUUUCUAAUUCUAGAACCCGGGUUCCAUGAAAUAGCAAAGAAGAAUCCCCCCUUUAAGGUAUAGAAAUGUUUAGCGUUUUUAGAAUAAAAAAAAUGGAAACU
rnacentral:lncRNA from 1 species